UCGAACGAUAUAGUGGCAGACGGGUGAGUAACGCGUGGGAACGUACCUUUCACUACGGAAUAGCUCUUGGAAACGAGUGGUAAUACCGUAUACGCCCUCCGGGGGAAAGAUUUAUCGGUGAAAGAUCGGCCCGCGUUAGAUUAGCUAGUUGGUAGGGUAAUGGCCUACCAAGGCGACGAUCUAUAGCUGGUCUGAGAGGAUGAUCAGCCACACUGGGACUGAGACACGGCCCAGACUCCUACGGGAGGCAGCAGUGGGGAAUCUUGCACAAUGGGCGAAAGCCUGAUGCAGCCAUGCCGCGUGAAUGAUGAAGGCCUUAGGGUUGUAAAAUUCUUUCGCUAGGGAUGAUAAUGACAGUACCUAGUAAAGAAGCCCC
rnacentral:rRNA from 1 species